rnacentral:rRNA from 1 species
AUACGAAAGGUGCAAGCGUUGUUCGGAUUUACUGGGCGUAAAGAGAGUGUAGGUUGUUUAUUAAGUCGGAUGUGAAAUCCCGGGGCUCAACCUCGGAACUGCAUUCGAUACUGAUAGGCUAGAGUUUGGGAGGGGUAAGCGGAAUUCCGUGUGUAGCAGUGAAAUGCGUAGAUAUACGGAGGAACACCUGAGGCGAAGGCGGCUUACUGGACCAAUACUGACACUGAGACUCGAAAGCGAGGGUAGCAAACAGGAUUAGAAACCCUAGUAGUCC